AUCUAACAAAUUAAACAUUCAACAUUAAUUACUAAAAGCUCUCAAGUCACAAACAACCAGUGAAACAAUGCUGUUAAACUACUAUAUGAAAAGGAUUACGCAACUAUAUCAAUCAUUGUUAAACAAAUGAGCUAUCUACAUAUUCCA